AGUGCUAGGAACCUGCGCCCGGCUGAGCUGAGCGAGGCGAGAGGAGAAAGCGAGGCCCGGGGACGGGACUGAGAGCUCUGAAAGGAGGGAGGCGGCUCCCGAGUACUCCGCGCGGGGCAGGCCCCGGCCUCGCCUCUUCGCCCAUUUUUAAGGCUCGAGUUAGAGGCCACCUCCUCCGAGAAGCCUUCGGUGACACCACCUCUCCCAGACGGUUCCCCUUUCUGAUUCCCACAGCAUUUUCCAACCAUUCACGGUCAGAACCACUCACCAGGACGUGUUGUCACCAUUUUACCGCUUUGCCUCGUCUCUUAACUAGACGAAAUGGGUUCCUUUUGGCUCUUUGGAAAGGGAGGCUGUCUUCUAUUUAUUUCCGUGGUAAUCCCACCUCCCACAACAAGUUCCAUUCUACAGCAAUGUCUUUUCUCUUGCUGAGAACCAUUCAAGUCUAAGUUUUCUGGUGGGUAGGGGUAGGGGGUGUGUUGCAAGACUUUUGUCUUCUCAACUUAUUUUUCUAGUUCUCACUUUCCUUAAGUGCUAAUUUUUUUGAAUUAGUGGUCUGCUCUCAACUGUACGUAUUUUUCCGUCCACUCCCUCCUUCCCCCAGCCGUCUUCCUUCCUCAUUGUGGUUUGGACCUUCUCGAGAAAGAAUCUGGCCUCAGUCUCCCUCUUCCACACUCAGGGACCGCCACCAUCACAGGCACUCGGUAGAUGUCUGCUGAAUGAGGAUAACUUCUACCCAACACCGUGAAGCCUGGCCCAGGGUCUGGCAUACAGAUGCCGUGUUUGUAAGGUGACUAAAACCCAGUGGCCUCUGUAAAUUCCUAUUUUCCUUGGACUCUGAGCCCUCUGACCACCUUCUGGAAGCCGUGUCCCUGUCUUUUUUCCUUGUGCCCCAGGCUUCUCCACCCCCCUGUCUGGCUGUGCUGCCCCUGGAUCCCUUCGUGCCCCGUUCCCCGCACUAUGUCUCCUCAGUCCUCCUCCCUUUUCUCUAGGCUGCCUUUCCUUGGAGAGGUCCUAUGCAUGUAGCCUGUCUUGAUGUUUACUGUUUUACAGUGGCUUUUCUCAUCUGCAUAGUCUGUCCUCCUGUCUUUCCAUCCUGCUCCUGUUCCCACCGGCUCUGUCCUCUCCCUCAGAUGUCCAGCCACCACCUCAAUGUCAGCCGAAGCCCAGUGUCUCUCCAAAGCUCUUGAUCUCCAUUUCUGUCAGCGAUACCAUCAUUUCCCAGUCACUCCGUCCAGAAAGUCCUGGUUGCUCAUCUCGCCCACUUGCACAGCCCACCUGUGUGGCCGACUCAGGAUUGACCCACCUGCUCUCUUCAGGCCAUAUUCCCACGCAGAAGUGGGUCCCACUCCUCAGGCCUCUGUGCUGGCCCCGUCUGUGGGGUUAGCAAGCAGCCCUGCUCUCCAUUUCCAGCUCAGAAGCAACUGGAUCGUUACCUCAUUGGUGACAACUUGACUGUGCUGCCCAGAGCUGAUAAGAAACAUCACCCGGGGAAGACCAGCUGCCUCUUCCUUGCUUCCUAAUCAGGGUGGAAAUACUGCUAAAUAUAUCACAACUCUUUGCAAGCAUCGUUGGGUAAUGAUCGGGACAUCUUUGUGGGUUCCCUAUCAUUUUCUCACAAAGUUGAGCCUUUCAAGGUCAGUUCUAGGCCAGCCAGUCUGGGAGUCAUUCUUUAGAAUCAGAAGAGAAUUUAAGAAGAGGAGAAGAUAAGAUUGUCUCUAAAACCUGCUAAUGAGAACUACAGGAAGGUGGGGAUGCUAGCUACUUUUAAUAUUUCUGGUUUGAACCCCUUCCUCCACCCCAGAAUGAACUGAGAGUAGGUACAGAAAUAGAUAAUGCAAAGACGGUUAGGGUUGAGGGUAAGCAGAAAACUACCCAUCUAGACCGAAGGAAGGCUUGCUAACAUAUCAGUAAGCAAACAGCUUUCUAAUCUGCAGGUAACAAGUUUUACAUCCCUGAGGACACUUUUUGAGAUAGGACUUUGUUUGUUUGUUUGUUUGUUGUUUUUUGUUUUUUUGAGACAGAGUCUCGCUCUGUCUCCCAGGCUGGAGUGCAGUGGCAUGGUCUCGGCUCACUGCAACCUUCACCUCCCAGGAUCAAACGAUUCUCCUGCCUCAGCCUCCUGAAUAGCUGGGAUUACAGGUGCAUGCCACCAUGUCCAGCUAUUUUUGUGUGUGUGUGUGUGUGUGUGUGUGUGUGUGUAUUUUUAGUAGAGAUGGGGUUUCAUCAUGUUGGUCAGGCUGGUCUGAAACUCCUGACCUCGUGAUCUGCCCUCCUCAGCCUCCCAAAGUGCUGGGAUUAUAGGCGUGAGCCACCGGGCCCAGCCUGGGGCUUUUUGAGACCCUAUUGAAGGCUGAGGAAGAAUCUGGAAGCUAAAGAGUAACCCAUUCCACCACCUGCUCUGAAGAUAGAAGAAGCAAAAAAAGAUUAAAUUGUACAAAAAGCACUUAAAUUAGACAACAGAAGAAUUUCCUGAUACAAAGUGGGUGUCUAAGAUGUGUUAAACAAGAUGCCUGCUCCAGCCAGGACUCAGACACUCCUGGAUGGAGAGCAUCUUCACAGUUUGGGAUAAAAGUGACUAUACAGAGUGGUGGAGUGAAGGCUGCAGGCCCCUCCCCAAGGUGGCAUCUAACCCCGGAGGUAUCAGGACCUCAGAGGCUACCCACAUGAUUUCCAGCUGAUGAGCAGAAAUAGCUGUGGCAGGUGCAGGCUUCACUUGCUGCCACCAACAUGGGAGCUCACCAAACACCCAGUGGCCAAAAGAACCAGGGUCUCUCUAAGCCCUGGGCUCACCGCCAGGCAAGCUUGGGUGCUUGGGAGGGCCGUCGUUCUUCACAGUGCAGCCCCUGGAUUUCUUCUCAAUUUACUCAACUCUCUCUCUUGAAUCCCAUCUGUGCAGCUUAGAAGUCACAAAUUAGAACCCCCCAAGGCAAAGCUGACCAUAGAUACAAAUGGUUUUGUCUGUAUAGUGUUUAAGCACUUAAAAAAUUCAUUGUGAACAUUUAAUAAUUAGAAAGUGUCAAAAUGAAAAUAUCUAUAGUUUCUCUCUAAAAACCAGAAGAUCUGUUAACACUGAUCCCACACUUCUAUUUGGCAAUGACUGGCCCCUAAGACAGGGGGUAUGUCCUCUAGCUCACCACAGUCUCCACCUUUACCUACUGCAUCCCUGCUGAGACAAAGUGGUACAUGCCAUUUAUUAAGGAUGAAUGCUGUUUUUUUUAAUUAUACUUAAUCCUCAUUUGCAUUACCUGCCUUCAUUCUGGAGGUAUUUGAGUUUGCAUCUCCUGAUAAAGAAUAAAUCUCAAAAUUGUCAUCUCUAACUUCACCUUUAUUACAGAGCUUCCAAUUCAUUUUUUUCCAACUGAGAGCUGGACAUCUUUGGAGCAUUUUUCUGGUGUUUCAGUCUCAACAUGUAACAGAUCAAAGAUACUUCUCUCCCAUCUUCCUUGUUUCUUAGUUCUUUCUCUCUCUCCUUAGUAUUACCCUUCUUUUUCUGCUUUAAAAACCUUCAAUAGCUUCCCAUUGCCUGUAGUACUAAUUAAAAAUCUCUCAUCUGACAUUCAAAUGGCUGCAUACCAAGGGACCUUAGGAUACCCAUUCAAAUCACCCAGGAAGUUUGAUAAAAAUUCAGAUCACACAGCCUCUCCCUGAGAUUCUGGACCCACCCACCUCAAACUACUGAAUCAGUUAUUAAGUAUAUACAUACAUAUCAUAUAUAUAUAUGUGUGUGUGUGUGUGUGUGUAUAUAUAUAUAUAUAUUUUUUUUUAGAUGAAGUCUCACUCUGUCACCCAGGCUGGAGUGCAAUGGCGAGAUCUCGGCUCACUGCAGCCUCUGCCCCCCACCGAGUUCAAGUGAUUCUCCUGCCUCAGGCUCCUGAGUAACUGGGAUUACAGGUGCCUGCCACCACGCCUGGCUAAUUUUUGUAUUUUAAGUAGAGACGGGGUUUCACCAUCUUGGCCAGGCUGGUCUUGAACUCCUGACCUCGUGAUCUGCCUGCCUCAGCCUCCCAAAGUGCUGAGAUUACAAGCGUGAGCCACCUCACCUGGCCUUUAGUUAUUAGGUAUAUGAGAGGUAAUUUAUAGGAAGCACCUAGCAUACUACCUAAGUAUUAUAGAUGCUCAGCAAACCAUAUCUCAUAAUUGCCAACUGUCAGAAGCAGGGUUUUCAGAAAUAAUCUACACAAAAAUUUUAAUUCUUCAGAUGGAGAAAAGAAAGCCAUGAGAUGAAAAAAAGAUGUCCAAAGUUACACAGCUACUUAGUGGCAGGGCUAGGACUAGAACCUAGAUCUCCCACCCAGCCUAGGGCCCUUUCCAUUAGGCCAGAUUCCCAUCAUGUGACCCUGGCUUUAUUCAUGUAUUCACUUACUCAAGGAAUAUGUAUUGGGUUCCCCUGGGAGCCAGCGGUGGACCAUGGUGGGUUUGGGAGUUGGUAUCAGCAUUCCAAGUGUCUAUCUGGGGGUGAGGGCUGGAGGCUGAGUGCGUGAGAUGGCCACUUGGAGACACAGAGGAGCCCAGGAGCAGAAUGAGUUCAGCUACUCACAUAGAAGUUGAUGUUUCAUCAGGUGGUAGCAGGAAUUUAGAGUACAGAGAAAGGCCCUAACCCUCGCAGGGCAAGAUCUUUAGUCAAUGAGAAAGAGCGGCCGGGAGGGCCCAUGUUGAUGAGACAGUGGGAUAAAUGAACUUCGGAGAAAGGCAUGAGGAAUGAUGGCAGGGAAAGGCUAACAUAGAGCAAGACACAUUGGUCCCCACUGCCUCAUUCUGAGGAGUGUUGGGUGAGGCAGAAAAACAGGCUUCUCUUGACACAGCCUGUUUGAGGGAAUGCCAGGAGAUGGAGAAAAUGCUUGGAGGGGUGAGGAUAUAGGGGACUUUUCUGGGCCCAAAGGGGGCUCAAUGAAAGGGUUUGGAAAGGAGGGUGGUGAGAGUUAGACUACCACAGAGCACACCCACAGUGGAAUGGGGAUGAGAACAUGUGUCCUUCGGACAGUGACCAGCAUCCAUAGAGGGAGUGAGGAUUUUAGUCUUGUCUGGGCCUUGGAGGUGGCAACCAAACACAGGGUUCUAGGAGAGAGGCCUGGCAACUGAGACAUGAGACCCAGAGUGCUGCACAGGGCAGAGAAAGACAACCUCCAGGGAACUUCCAUUUCUGCUGUCAGGGGCCAGCCACUGCCUUGACGACUGCAGAGUGGUCUUCGUGUCUCGGAGGGACAGGGCCUCCAGGGUCCUGGAUGCAGGCUGUGUGCUCCCCUAACUCACCUCUUCAUCCUCUCCAUGUUACUCUGCAUCGCGUUGGCCCACACAGGCCCACUCUCCUGCUGCUGGGAGGGAGGGGCUGGAAAGUGUUAGGAAUUCAUCAAGCUUGUAACUAAAGCUGACUCUAUGCCAGGCCCCAUCUGGGGAAGGAAUCUGCUCCCCCCAAAGGCAUGUAUUCCCCUGAGGGUUGCUUCUCAGCUGCUGUGCUCUACUAACCCAGUAGUGUCUGUGGGAAGAUGAAUGAUCUGGGCUUCUCACCCUCCUUUGCCACCCUGGCUGUGUGGUCAGGGAAGGGUGAAGGCAAGAAGGAUGGCGGAGGGUACAGGAGAGACAGUGAAGACGGGAUGAGGUGGGAGCUGGGGAAGGGGAAGAGACGUGGACAGAUGGCCAGACCAAUAUGGCUGGAAAGGUCCCUAGUGAUGUGUUUUUGUUUCUGCGACUCCCUCGGUGUAUCAGGAGCAAAAGGAUGGGAACGAUCUGCUAAAAGUCUGUUAUCCUGGAGGCCCCCCAAGAAUGUGACCUCCCACACCUUCUCCCUCUAGGCCUUCUCCUAUGGUACGAGAAGGUGUGACUGAAAGUGCCAGAAACUCACAGGGGAACACAUGGACUUGGGACAGAAGCAGAUCUGAAGCUGAAUUUAUUGCCUCUUUCCCAAAUUUAGAAGACAGACAUGUUGUAAACCCUCCUCAUCCUCACUCCCAGGGGCCCAGGAUAAACCCCCUUUAUCUCCAGACAAAAAACAAGAGAAGAGGCCCUGAACCUAUUGGAGCUUCCCCAGAUGUUGUUUUGGCAGAGCCGUAAUGGGGCUGGGCCUCCUGGGGCUGAGUGUCUGGGGCAAGCAGGAAGCUGGCAUCACAGCUGUGACAGCCAGAGACCACCUGGGGGAUGGGGGCUGAAGGGAAGAGGAAGACAGAUUCAGAAAGGAGGACACAAGAAAAAGUCUAAAGAAGAGGUACUGCAGCUUCUCACCUGUGGCCUCCUGGCUCUGGGCCUGAGGUACUUCUCUACUGCACCAUGGGUUCAGGUCCAGGGAUCCGUGUGGUUUGGAGGAAGGAGCUAGGAGAAAGGGAGAGAUGGUUGGAGUUCCCUGAGCCUUAGUUUGCUUAUAUGUAACAAAAGAGUAUUGGGCUAGGAGACCCACCCUGCCUCUUAAUCUGUCAUCUAUGGUUCACAUUGAUGACUCCUUGGGUCCUAGUGGAAUACGUGAUCACCUGCCAGCAAGAGAGGAUUUUCCUGAUGAGGUGACAAGAUAUCCUGGAGCCCUACUUCCUGAGCGGAUCCCAUAUCCAAUUACUGGCCCAGUCCUGUCAGUUAUCCUCUUGAAAUACCUUCUACUCAGCAUCACUGAAGCCACCAACUGUUAGAUCGUUCUUGGAUAGUUUCAACAGUUCCCUAAGUGGUCUCUUUGCCUGAAGUGCUUCCCUUCCUGCCCUUUCCUCAGUCCAUACUCUGCUGUCAGAGCUCCUAAACUACAGGUCUGUCUUGUCUCUUUCAUGUUUAAAAGCUCUGAAGGCUCCCUACAGUUGAAAGUUUAAUUCUUGGUUUGGCCUUCAAGGCCUUUACAAUCUGGCCCAACCUCAAAGCUCAAUUAACCCAUUCUCAGUGUUUCUCAAAUACAUACUUUGCACUUUCAUACCAUUGUGCCUUUGUAGUUUCAACAGUGAGGUCUUGCCAUGUUGCCCAGGCUCUGGAGUGCUGUGCUUACUCACAGGCAUGAACAUAGCUCCCUACAGCAUCAAACUCCUCACCUCGAGUGAUCAUCCUCCCUCAGCCUCCUGAGUAGCUGAGUGCCCAGCUUAUUGUACCUUUACUCAUAUUAUUUGCUCUGCCUGAAAUUCUCUCUGUUCAGCUCUUUGUCCAUCAAAAAGCUGACUAAUUAUCUCCGUGCAAGUGAUACAGAAGGAGUGAAAACAUUAUUUUUCCCACAUUAUUGAAGAAAAAAGUAAGGAACAUAUAGGGCAAUGGACAUGUCAGGAAAGUCUCUAAAAAGGGGGCUGGGGUAGUGGGGUGAGAGUGGGCUAGGGAAGGGUGGGAAAGGAUUCUAAAUCCUACUUCCUCCAUCCCUUCCACUAAGAAUAAGGUUGGGGAGGAGUGGAAAGGAAUCUUUAUUUAGAUUAAGAAUGGGUGGCCUGAGCUGCUUGUUAUGAUAUAUUAGUCUUUUUUUUUGAGACAGGAUCUCACUCUGUUGCUUAGGCUGGAGUAUAGUGGCAUGGUCUCGGCUCACAGCAACCUCCAUCUCCCGUGUUCAAGCUAUUCUCCUGCCUCAGCUUCCUGGGUAGCUGGGAUUACAGCUGUGCGCCACCACACCUGGCUAAUUUUUGUUAUUUUUAGUAGAGACGGGGUUUCUCCAUGUUGGCCAGGCUCGUCUCAAACUCCUGACCUCAAGGGAUCUGCCCACCUCGGCGUCCCAAAGUGUUGGGAUUAUAGGCACCUGGCCUUAUAUCAGUCUUGUUUUGAUGAUGACUGGCUCCGAUGGCAUAUAAUUAUGCUUUUUUACAUUGGUGUCCCUGGAUGGGCUAAUUAAGUUUUUGAACUGACGGAUUUGUUCUAGUGCGAUGGGCAGAGCACAUCCCUUAAAGCCACACUGCUUAGGUUCAAAUCCUAGCUGUGCUACCUUAGGCAAGUUAUUGAAGCUUUCUGUGCCUUAAUUUCUUUAUCUAUAAAAUGAGAUUAAUAGUAAUUCUUACCUCUUAGAGUUGUUGGGAGAAUCAAAUGAGUUUACAAUACUUAGAAUAGUGUCUGGCACAUAAUAGUGGUCAGUACAUGUUAACUAUUAUUACUUAUAAUUUAUACUUUGCUUACUUCCAAGAAGAAUUUGAGACAGCUUAAAAUAUUAAACCACAUAGAGGAUGAUUUUAUGUGUGUGUUUAUAUUAUAUUAAAGAUCAGAAACGAAUUGGUAGUAGGAGGAAGAAAGAGAAAGAUAGAUAUUUACAAACUUGUUUGAAUCAGAUACUUCUUUGACACCUAAAUUUAUCUUUGAACUUCCAGGAAGCCAAGGUAAAAAGGGAAAUACCUGCAUUAUAUAGUUUUCAUUGUGAAAUAUAAAAAAGCAUUCAAGUUAGCCUGUUAAAACCCACCCCCACCAGCCCGCUACAUCCACACAUUCCUCAAGAAGAAAUUUAUGAUAUGAAUCCCUAUGUUGGAAUACUGGAGCCAAAGAGUCUGAAGUUGUUCUCAGUUGGCAUUUAGUAUCUUCCUCAAUUGGGUUUACCUUUCAUAAGAGCCCAUAACGACAACAGAAGUAAUCAGGAUAAUGGCUGGGAUAGUAACAAUCAAUAUCAUCUCUACAUUUCUUUCUAUCCUUAUUUCAGGGUUUCCUUCCUUCCCUCUUGGCUCAGGAACUCUCUGAGGUCAGGGGUUGAGCCUCGCUCGGUCAAAUAGUCAGGUGGCCCCAGGUGGUUUCAGCUGCCUCCCUGAAGCAUUAGAGUUGUGUAGAAGCAAGGUGGAACCCAUGGCAAAAACUCAUGAGGUGAAUGGAGACAGGAAGGUUAUGAGGUAUGUCUAAGAGGGCUUUGAGACGAUUGAGCUCCCAAACAUGUAACAGAAUGAUUAUCUUAGUGGGAAUGGGUAAGCUCCUAGAAAGAGAACAACUCUGUGUCCCCUAUUUUUUGAAUUCAGCAGAAUCUAUUGUAAGUCAAUAUCCUUAUGUAAAAACAUUGCAUAAGUCCAGGAAGACCACCACCACGAUCUUCCAGCCUGACCUGCCAGGCUUAAAAAAAGCGGCUCGGCCAGGCGCAGUGGCUCACACCUGUAAUCCCAGCACUUUGGGAGGCUGAGGCGGGCAGAUCACCUGAGGUCGGGAGUUCAAGACCAGCCUGACCAACAUGGAGAAACCCUGUCUCUACUAAAAAUACAAAAUUAGCAGGGCGUAGUGGCGCUUGCCUGUAAUCCUAGCUACUCGGGAGGCUGAGGCAGAAGAAUCGCUUGAACCUGGGAGGCAGAGAUUCCAGUGAGCCGAGAUUGUGCCAUUGCAUUCCAGCCUGGGCAACAAGAGCGAAACUCCGUCUCAAAAAAAAAAAGAAAAAAAAAGUGGCUCUUUGCCUACGAACUUACACACUCAGAAGCUUUGGACCUAUCUCGUUGAAUUCUUAGACAGGUUCAGAGGUGUGGCUGGAGGUUAGAGCUGAAUUACUCCACAGAAGAAAACAAGAGGAAUCUAUAUUUUUGUUCCUGAGAGAGAGCAGCAAAAAAAGGGGGCUUGAGUAACCUUAAAAUGGUGUUGGGAGGGCCUAGAGCCAAUGUGAGAGAGGAAGCCGAGGGAAGUUUAAGAACAGAAAUGCCCAACACUCCCUUUUUAAGCUCUUUACAUUUUUGCAAAAUUAACCCCCUCAGGAGACCCCAACCUUCACUAAAGCCCAUGAUGUAUAUACAGACCUUGUAAGGAAUUCAUAUGAAGAAACAAGAGACAGGCCUGACACGGCUCACAACAGUGAGAGCGCUCAGGGUCAGCAGGAUGAUUCCCAAAAGGAACUGACUUGAGAUCCCAAAGCCAGAGGCACUGAUGAGAAGGAAUGUCUUCUCCACCCUCCAUCCCCACUUCCAGGGGAAUCUGGAAUAUUUUGAGGAAAACUAUUGGAUCACUCAUCGAUCUUCGAAUAAAACAUUGAACCAAUCUUGCCCAGCACCUAAAGAGCAGUUGGGCACAGCUGACGAACAGUUUACCCACUGGGAGCAUGGAAUUAGGUGUCACCUUCAAAUACCUGAUGUUUAAUGAGGACAACCAUCUCCAAAGGGAGGAUACCUGCCUGCCCACUGUGCAGUCUACUUCUUGGCUACCUAGCACAGUCCUCCCUGAGAGAGGGUUCCGUGGGGGCUCGUUGAAGCCAAUGAGUGGGGAGGAGAAAUGCUGCAGAAAUUUACCAUGUCUGGCUGGCCCUAUGGCUCACUGCCAUUUAUGUAUGGGUCACAUGGGUCACAAAUCAAUCACUUGACCUCGUGAUCUGGAUACCUUUUGUCGUCUUUGUCCUAGAGUGAUAAGAGGAAGGAGAUUUAGUCCCCACCCUCAGAGGUAGAGAGUGUGGGUUCUUCAUUCUGACUGGGGAGAAACGGUUCCUGCCCACAGGACGCUGCAAGUUCCCAAGGAGGGAGAAGCAUCCACAUCGAGGACACAGACGCAAAGCUGCCAGGAGACAGGCAAAUAUGGGCAGAGCCACACUGCACAAACACGAUUCACAAUUAACCAAGGAGUUGGAGUGAAGGUGUCAGCAGGAAAUAGCUUGUUGGGCCUGGGAGUUUUGAGCUGAGCUGGAUUUGGAAGGAAAGAGUUCUUACUAGCAGCAACAGAAGACAGUCAUGUGCUGCACAGUGUCCAGUACUGUGCGAGGCGUUUGCACGAUGACCGCUCACCCGCGGUUCCCCUCCCUGCUGGAAGGAUCAUCUCCAGCAUGCUCACCACUUGCUUACUAACAGAGGCCCCAGACAAACAGCUCGCCACAGUACACACAAGAGGCAAACUCCAGAUGACUUUAUUUACACAGCUUAAGCUUUUCAACAGGGUCAAAGGGCAUUCUCACAGCACAUGGGUGUGGCCCGGGAAAGGCAGGUUCUGGAGGGGGCUCCUGAACAGGUUCCUCCUCCCUGGCACCAAGUGACCACCUGUAAGUCUGAAUAGCACUUUACAGCUUGCAAAGCUGUUUUACACCAAGCAGAACACUCAUCUAGUCCUUACAAGGCUCGAGGGCAGUAUCCUCCAUAUUUUAUGGAGAAGGAAGCUGGGGCCUGAAGAAUUAUGAGACAAAUUUAAGGCCCCAAGGCAGAGGCAAGGAUGUCCUUUCUACCACCCAACAGUGGCCUAGCAUCACAGCCUUCCGGCCGUAGACUUUGGGAUGCAGAGCAUUCAGGGACUAUCAGAGUGCAUCAGUGAAAGGCCACCUGGUCAUCUGCAUUUCAAUCUAGCUCUGCACAUUUCAUGAGAAACCCAAAGAGGGAGGAUGCAGAGCGACAGCGUCUGGGAAGGCUGCCCGCCUGGGCUCUGGCUCUUGAGAGGAGACAGGGAGGCUGGCCUCCCUUUUCCAAAUGCGGGUCACCUUUGCCCCGGCCUGGGCAUUGUUUGGGAGAGGAGAGCCUGGCCCUUGAUGGCUGGCAGCUGUUGCCCUCCCCAAGAGCGCCCCUGCCCUGCCGGCCCCUCCGGAGUCUGUGCCCAUAUAAGGGAAGCACUUCCCGGCAGCUGAGGUAGAGGCUGUGACGCCCCCAGUCCACGUCAGCGGCCGGCGGGAGGCGGGAAAGCCCAGCAGAAAAACAAGUGACGCGGCGCGGGAGGGAGGCGGUGGGUGGCAGGUGGCGGGAGGGAGUGGCCGCGCCUGCCUCGUUAACCCCUGCCCAGGCAGCUGGAGCCAAGGACUGAGCGCAGCCAGCCAAGGUUGUGGGCUGUCUUUGCCCUUCUGUGUGAAUGGGGGUGUGGAGUGGGGAAAGUCGGGGGCCAGGGGCUGCGCUGGUGACACCUGCCUGAGCACUUCUGUCCUGGGGUGGGUGCAGGUGUUUGUGCUCUGGAGGACCUGCUCUUUGGGCGUCCAAAUGUGUUUCACAGCCUGUGCAUUUUGCCUGGUGGUGUCAAGGACGCAUAUGACAUGGACAGCCAUGGUGUGUAUUUUUACUGCAGAGCCCAGGGAUUUUCCCAUAGGUGUUUAAAGACAAUCACAUCUCCUAUUGAAACUCAAUCUCUUCUGUCCUGAAACAAGCAAAUAAAAAGAAAAACUGGCAUCUGUGUUUCCAGAGAAUCCCAGAAAGUCUCAGAAGAGGCACUGCUGUAAGGCGACUGGCUUCUCAUUAGCCAAGUGGCCUCCCCAUGUCUUCCCCAGACCAGUCAAAUAAAAAGGUCUGGCCUAGGGGCUGACGGAGAAGCAGCCUGAAAAACGAGGGUUUCCAGAGGCCUCCUGCCAGGCAGAGGCCAAGAAAAAAACAGAAAAGGAAGAGAAACUGCGAUGAGAACUCAGGGCUCAUCAUGGAGCCUUCACUGUCCUGGGGCAGGUUGGGGGAGGCGCUCUGAUUUCUGAGUCCAGCUGAGCACUCAGAUAAAGCCUGUUGGAGUGCUGUUCUCAGAGGCCUGCCUCGUCUCGCCUGAAAUUAUGGGUGUGCGUGCCUGCCUGUGGUGGGUUGGGGAGUAAAUUGGGUAGCUCAGCCUCCGGGGAAAGUCCCCAGGGCCUCCCAACCAUCCCUUCACACCCACAGUGCUUAGCCACCCACAUUCGCUCCUCUAUCUAAGGUCUACUUCCUCUCUCUACUUCCCCUGGCCCAGUCUCUCCACGGUAGAGAGUUGUCUGGGGGGACAACUCACCCCAUCCCCAAGCUCUGGGUGCUGUGAUAGAGUGGGAGUUUGAGGCAUGAAAAAUAGCUAGUGGCCCUCCUUGGCAGGGCAUUGGCCGAGGAUGUGGCAAGUUUGCUUUGGCUGUGGGCACGGUCCCUGUCUCUGAGGCUUACCCUCACGGUGGCUGGUGAACAUGGUUUUAUGCCUGGGAAUUUUAAAGGAUGUGGGAGGGGCCUUCCUUCCUCAGGAGCCAGUGUCCUGGGACUGGAUGAUACCAAAGGUGUUGAAGAAUAAAAACAAUGGGGUAAUGUUUGUGUUUCUGCCUGGACAGUACUGCAUAGCGGUUAUGGGUGGGCUUUGGGGUCAGAUGGGACCUUAGCUCUGCCACUUGCUGGUAGGUCUUCUGGCAAGUUCCUAACCUCUCUGAGCCUCAAUUUCCUUGUCUGAAAAAUAGAAGUAAAAGUAUUAAUCGUAUUGAUUCUUUUUUUUUUAGGCAGGGUCUCACUCUGUCACCCCAGGCUGGAGUGCAGUGGCAGGAUCACAGCUCACUGCAGCCUUGACCUUCUGGGCUCACGCGAUUCUCCCACCUCAACCUCUGGAGUAGCUGGGACCACAGGCAGGCAACAUCACACCUGGCUAAUUUUUUGGGUAUUUUUUUGUAGAGAUGGGGUUUUGCCAUGUUGCCCAGGCUGGUCUGAAACUUCUUGAGCUCAAGCAAUCCAUCUGCCUCGGCCUCCCAAAGUGCUGGAAUUAUAGGCAUGAGCCACCGCACCUGGCCUGUAUUGUUCUUUUGAAGAUAAAAGGAGAUCACGUUUAUUAAGCAUUCUGCACAUAUGUUCACUCUUUCCACAAUAUUUGCACACCCAGCGCAUAGUAAACACAUUAAAUAGUGGCUUUUAUUACUAUUAGCAGUGGUAGCAGUAUCAUAAAAGUCCUCAAGGACACCACAUGGAGAGUUAGUCGGAGUCACCAGGUGUUCCAAGUUUGCCUUUGGCGGUCUCCUGCCUCUCAGCUUUCUUCGAGGUUGCUCUGGUACCUCAUCACCUCCACCACCUCCUCCACCAUCCCGACCUCAGCCUGGCCUGGAAGAAAGUGCAAUGAGUGUGGAAGCACAAGACCGAUGCUUCCACCCCAGCUUUGCCCUGCCCUGGGCCAUUCCACCCUUCUGAGCCUCCAUUUCCUUAUCACUGAAAUGGGGAGAAUACUUUCUGGCUGGCUUCGUUUAUUGUGAGAGUCAAGAGAAUAAACGUUUGUGAAAAUACUUUGAAAACAGCCCCCACCUAUCAGUUCUCCACCAGGUGAAUUCUCCCCUCUCAUCCUCGGCACCAGCUCCUACCCCAUUCCUCCCCUUCGAGUCUCUCUCUGUAGAUUUUCAUGGCUUUGGGCAUUUUGUUCACAGCUCUGUUGACAUUCCCUUGACCUCAGAAUUCUGGAGGUGCCUUAAUUCCGACUUCCCCUAUAGACGCCUCCUCAGGGCAGGAAAUAUGCCUUAUUCAUUCAUCCUGUGAUUCCAGUGCCAGGCCCAGGAAGGGCACAUAGUAGGAGCUCAGUCAGCGCUGAUUCCCUUUCUUCUACCAGCAAAUCCCAGGGAUGGAGGCCUGAAAAAGAACCCAGUAGAAUUUAGGGGAGCAGACUCUGUCCUCCAAGAGAGAGGGGUUGGGGAAGAAGGGAGACAGGAGGAAAGGAGGGGAGUGGCCCUUUGCUAUGCAGGCCAAAGGAUGCCCGCUGUCACCACACACAGGCGCAAGGUAAUACCAGUCUCCAUAGGGUGACAUGGUGCUGACUGGUUUUACUCAGCGAUCCCAAGGCUGGGAGAACCUCUGAGAGCCUCAGCAGAGGGCCAAGCCACUCUUCCUGGUAGGAAAGCAGACAUUCUGCCUAAAAGGGAAGUCCUUGGGUAACAAGUUCCACUUCAUCACAGCCAGGGCACUAACCUAAAACCCUACCCUCUCCUCCUCCCCCACCGCACAGGCAAACCAUUUCCUCUUCUGCUGAGCUCAUGGAAACAAAGAACAGCUGUCCUCUCAUUGAUUGGUUUAAAAAUAAGAGACUCUUGCUUUACCUCCCCAACCCCCCACCCAGACCUCUGAUGACCAAACAUCUCAGCACAGUCCCCCUCAGGCCUCCACCCACUCCCCUGGGGACAGAGGGGCAGCCCCUGGGCCGCCCACAGGCUCCCUCCUCCUCCCUGUGGGGACCAGCCUCUGCCUGCCACUGAGCCACACCCGUCUACCUUCGGUGGGGUGACUGCAGCUGCCCAGCCACUGGCUCUUACCAGUGUGGCCUUGGCAUUCACACUUUGGCCACCAUAAUUUUGUCUCUGCAGUGGGCCUUGCACAAGGCUGGGAGGAAACAGCCUCUGUAGAAAUCAAGGUUUCCUGCUCUGUGAGGGCUGAUGCGGUGCCAUGGAGAUACUUCCUGUGACUUUGCCAGGCAAACUGGAGGCCAGGGGAAAGAUCGGGAGUGUGAAGUCCUGACUUCUCAGCUACUCAGAAACCCCUCUAAGCCUCGAUGUUUUCAUCUGAAAAAUGACAGUGGCAAACUGCUUAUAGAGGGACUGUCAGGAUCAAACGAGAUAUGGUUAUGAAGGCGCAUUGAAAACGGUGCCACCAUGGACACACGAGUUGCUAUUUCUGCCUGCCACCUCCACAGACCCCAGUUCACCACCAGCUGCAAUCUCUACAAGUGGCCCUGCCUUCCUGAAAACCCCAAACCAAGACUUGCCUCCCUGGGCAUCUGAGUCCACCCCAUCCUCUCUCCUCGGGCUUACUUACUCAACCUACACCACAGGGAAAUGCACCAGUUGCUUAAGAGGUGUGGAAAGUUUCCUCCAGUUUUUUCCAUGGUUUGUGUGCUUGUCUUACCUGUCCCGCCUCCUUCCUAGCACCGUGGGAGUAUAAGCUGGCUCCUCUGCAAUGGAUCCGUGGCCAGUACCUCUGUUCCCUCACAGCACAGGAUAACAAUAAGUGUGCCAAAUGGAAGUGUGCGUGUGGGAGAGGGCACACAGCCAGAUGGCUCCUUGGGGCAAAGCCUUAUUUCUACCACAUAGGACUUUGUAGACAAUCACUCUCUGGCUAUAGAGGGGUUUUGUGCUCAUUUUCUGUUGUGAAUCAAGCUAAUUUUGGAUUCACUGGGAUACAAUAGUGAACUGAAAGGCAGCUGCCUGCAGGAGGAGCUCAGAGAACCAAGCAGAGCCAAGCCCUGGGAAGCCUUUUAGAGGAAGAUUUGCAGAGAAGGAGUGUGACAGUCAUAAGUGUCCCACGCUCUCAGUCCUCAGCAGGCUGUCCCUCCCAGUCCCAGGUUCACCUUGCAGAGGUGUGGUGGAGAACAAGCGUGCCCAGCAGCUUCCCGUCUGAAAGCCAACUGGCACAGCCCACCUCCAGUGGGCCACCCAUGUUUCUGGGGCCAAUGAGCCUCUGAGCUGGGAGGUCCUGGCCAAAGAAAUGCCCUCCUGCCUCAGAGAACAGAAAGUUCCAGAAGAUCCAGGGUAGCUUUAUUCCUGACUUAGCAAGCAGACCUAGAAGUGGGAUGGAGAAGGGCUUUUGAAUCUCCCUCCAAAGGUCCAGAGAAAUCUCCUUGGAAAUUUGAUUGAUUAUUGAUUAUUGUAACAAGAGUUUCUCCUCCCCCAGGAAGCUCACCAGAGUGGUCUUCUUCUAAUAGAGGCGGAACUGUGUGAUGGGUGGUCGGAGGUUCCGGCUGCUGUGCCAGACCGCUUGGGUUCAAAUCUUAUCUUUAACAGUUACCUAAUAUUCGCUGUGCUUCAGUUGCCUCAUCCAUAAAGUAGAAAUUACAAUGAUAUCUAUCACAUUGGAUUGUUUUUGAUUAAUGAGUUACUAUGUGCAAAACACUUAGGGCUCAGUAUUGUUAUUAUAAGAAAGAACUUUACUUAAGAGGCUUCCUAGUUUAAUUUCUCUACCAUUAUGAAAAGAAAUUCUCUCCCUGAUUCCGACACCUUUGUUUCUUUCUUUUUCUUUUUUUUUCUUUUUUCUUUUUUUUUUUAAGAGAAGGGGUCUCACCUUGUUGCCCAUGCUAGUCUCAAACUCCUGGGCUCAAGCCAUCCACUCACCUCAGCCUCCCAAAGUGCUGGGGUAAUAGGCAUGAUCAAUAUAUAAUAUAUAUGACAUUAUAUAUAAUAUAUUAUGUUUCUCCUGGCCUCUGAGCUCCAGGUUCAGCAAGAGGAGAAUGCUCAGUUCCUUCCUGUGGACUAAAAGCCACAGGAGACAUUCAUCAACAGCAAUGGGGUGAUGAGAGCCAUUUGGGAGUAUUAGGAAGUGGAAGGUCUGAGAACCUUUUCAAACUAAGAAACCCACCUGGCCAAGGUGUCCCUGACUUGACUCAUUCAGUCCCUAUCCUGCCAUAUAUUUAUUAUAACUAUAUUAUAUCCCAGAACUUUCACAUUUAUUGUGUUAUUUAAUCUUCAUGAUGAUCCCACAGAAUAGGCUAUAAAGAUCUUAUCAGAGAAGGCAACUGGGACCUUGGGACGGGUCUCCCACUUCCUGUCCUACUGAGAAGGAUCCUAUCCAUCUUUGCCCCAGGCCAUUCCACUGAGGAAGCUGCAAGGUGGUUCCAUGGAGGACCAGUUCAGAGUCCAUAAUAACAGGAUGACUUAAUGACAGGUUGAAUCAGUUUGUUAUUUGGAGCAGGCACUGCAGGGAAAGGGCUGGCCAUGUUAGACGUGGCUCAUCCUCUUCCCUCUUCAAAAACACUCCCACUUAAUGCUUGACCUCCCAGAAUCAAGGAAGUACGUGGCCUUAUUGCUAGAGCCAAAAUUUGCAGAGUCAAGUGCACAUCCAGCCUGCUAACAAGAAAUUCCAGGUGCCCUGAGGACAGUGGUGCUGGCCUCAAAGUCACAAGAGCUUUCUGGGUUUAGGGUCACCCUGCACUGAUUCUGAGGAAUUGGGAGUAAGACACAGACCCUCUCCAUACACUUGGCCUGGGAGGAUCAUCCUGCCCUGCUCACGGGGGAGAGGGACAGAGCCCGUCAGUCCCAGCCCCAGCUCUCCGGCAUGAUGCCAGAAGUCAGGAGCCUGGUGAACUCUCUGGCUCAGCCACCGACUCUCUGGGUCUCAGACUUCUUCAUUAUAAAGUGAGGAUGUCGGACUAACCGUACCUAAGAUAGCCGUGAGCUUGGACAGCCGGGAUGACCUUCUCUGUGCCAAAUUACCCUAAUUCCUUCCAUCUUGUGUCAUUUGCCUUCCACUUACUGGUCUUAUAUACAUCUUUUUAAAGGAUUUUAUCAGUUUAGUUAAAUUCAACAUUCUCCAAGCAGCUGGUAUACACCCGACAUUGACCCGAUACUGGAAAAUCAAUGGUGCUGAGAUAUCUGUUUUCAGAGUGCUUCCAGUCUAGCAGAGGAAGGCAGGCAAGAGAA
rnacentral:lncRNA from 1 species